rnacentral:rRNA from 1 species
GACGUAGGGCGCGAGCGUUGUCCGGAUUUAUUGGGCGUAAAGAGCUCGUAGGCGGCUUGUCGCGUCGUUCGUGAGAACCUGUGGCUCAACUACAGGCUUGCGGUCGAUACGGGCAGGCUGGAGUUCGGUAGGGGAGACUGGAAUUCCUGGUGUAGCGGUGAAAUGCGCAGAUAUCAGGAGGAACACCAAUAGCGAAGGCAGCUCGCUGGGACGUUACUGACACUGAGGCGCGAAAGCGUGGGGAGCGAACAGG